GGUGCAGCUCAAUGAUAGAGCACAUGCUUAUUAGCAUGUAUGAAGCCCUGGGUUCAAUUCCCAGCACCA
rnacentral:tRNA from 1 species